UACGUAGGGGGCAAGCGUUGUCCGGAUUUAUUGGGCGUAAAGAGCGUGUAGGCGGCCUGAAAGGUCAGCUGUGAAAACUCGAGGCUCAACCUCGAGACGUCGGUUGAAACCAUCUGGCUAGAGUCCGGAAGAGGAGUGUGGAACUCCCGGUGUAGCGGUGAAAUGCGCAGAUAUCGGGAAGAACACCCGUGGCGAAGGCGGCACUCUGGGACGGUACUGACGCUGAGACGCGAAAGCGUGGGGAGCGAACAGG
rnacentral:rRNA from 1 species